UAUAUAGUAAUAAUAUAGUUUUUGAGUGAGAUAUUUUUAUUUUUUAAACAAUUUUAUAGGCCUCUAUAUAUAUUUGAUCUUCCAUCAAACAAGAAAAUGAACUCAACACAAUUUUAACUUUGUUAAUUAUAAUUAGCAUGGCUAAGAUGUACUUAUCUCACACGCUCUCUUUCUUCUUUUGUAUUCUCCUUGUUUCACUUGUUGUUAAUUCAUCAUUUUGGUCCUGAAACUCUCAUCAAGUGAUGGCUUUGAGAAACAUGCAUUUUGAAGAAGAAAUACAAGUGAUUGAGCAAAUUAUAAAGCCUUAUGUAUCUUCAUGUGGCAAAUCUUGUACAUCUCAUGAAUAUUGCCAAAUUUUUAA